AAGCUUGACCACGAAGCGAGUGACAAGUAGUGCGACAGUUUUAAGAAAAAACGUGCUUUAUAUGUGCUAUACUUCUCGCUUAUUAUACGUUAGCUAGGUCAACCUUGUAGUGAAAAACAAGUUAGGUGUAAAUCACACAACAGGUUUCCCUUCGAAAAGGGAAUUCCUCUCGGGUGGCAAAAACGAAACUGCAACACCCCUAGUUUCGGAACACCAACGGCUGUUUCCUGGCCGUGCAACAUAAACCACCGCGAGCCGCCGAAGAAAGUCGACGAUAAGUCACGUGUCGUCGCGGCUAAACCCUCCGUGUCCAGGUGAUGUGUCCAGGAAGUGGUGAAUAGCAUACUCACCUACUUACCCACUUCAAUCGUCAAGCCGGGACAACCACCACGA